AGGAUGAACGCUGGCGGCGUGCCUAACACAUGCAAGUCGAACGUCCUGUCUCGCAAGAGGCAGGGAGUGGCGGACGGGUGAGUACCACGUGGGUUAUCUACCGUGAGGUGAGGAAUACCGGCGAGAAAUCGCCGACAAGACCGCAUAGCCUCGGUGCAAGUCGAGGAAAGCUCUCUCGAGAGAGGGAGCGCCACACGAGGAGCCUGCGCCCGAUUAGCUAGCUGGUGGAGUAAUGGUUCACCAGGGCGACGAUCGGUAGCUGGUCUGAGAGGACGAUCAGCCACACUGGGAUUGAGAACGGCCCAGACUCCUACGGGGGGCAGCAGUGAGGAAUUUCGUCAAUGGGCGCAAGCCUGACGGAGCGACGCCGCGUGUGGGAAGAAGGCCUUCGGGUCGUAAACCACUGUCGAAGGGGACGAUAUUGACGGUACCCUUGGAGGAAGCCCCGGCUAACUACGUGCCAGCAGCCGCGGU
rnacentral:rRNA from 1 species